AACUUGAGAAUAUUAGAAAAGGUGAGGGGCAAAAUUGAAAUUUUACAUGGGAGUCAUCAUCCAAUUCUUAGAAGAUUCAAGAGAAUUGGAGAAGAUAGAAGUGAGAAAAAUUGAGGAAAACAAAGAAGAAGAAGAAAAUCGGCUAAAGAAAAAAAAAUAGGGAAAAAAUUAAAAUCUUGCUCCAAAAAAUAUUUUCUUCUAGUAUUCCUACUAAUUCAAGGAUCCUCUACAACAUGAUGAAGUUAUUUUGGAAGAUAGGAGCCUUGUUUGGUUGAUUGGGUGUCAUGGUUAACUGAAGAAGUUAGAAGGAAAAGAUUUUGGAGGAAACGAGAGUUGAAUUUGGACAAACGUGAAAAGCCGAUAAGGUACUGAAGUUCGAUUUGCUGAUCCAUCUGUUUAGGAUAUUUGCUGCGUCGUUGACAGUGCUUCUUUGUUCGGAGCUUGUAUUUUGGUACUGACUUUAUCUCUGUAUAUUUGGAUAUUUUAGUCAGGGGUACGACGGGGCCCUGUUCCGUCAUAUGACUAUGCUAUCAUCUGUAGAGGUCUGUAGACAGAUUUAUGUUGUGGGUUUUGUAUAUAUAGUUUGGGUUUUGUGUGUUU